UACGUAGGGGGCAAGCGUUGUCCGGAUUUAUUGGGCGUAAAGAGCGUGUAGGCGGCUUGGUAGGUCUUGCGUCAAAACCUGAGGCUCAACCUCAGUUCGCGUGGGAAACCACCUAGCUAGAGUCCGGAAGAGGAGAGUGGAAUUCCUGGUGUAGCGGUGAAAUGCGCAGAUAUCAGGAAGAACACCCGUGGCGAAGGCGGCUCUCUGGGACGGUACUGACGCUGAGACGCGAAAGCGUGGGGAGCGAACAGG
rnacentral:rRNA from 1 species